rnacentral:rRNA from 1 species
UUUUGCAUGAAGUGGCCGUUUCUUUGAGUAGUUUAAGGGAAUGCAAGAGGACUCUGUGUAAAUGACCUGCUACUGACCCUUACGGAACGAGACAUGACCAGGGCUUGGUUCUUACACUUACGACUGUUUUAUAACCCCUUCUCACGGAAUAAUUCGUUGCCAUUUCCUUCAUUACGUCUAUUCCAAGUCCUAUCACUGUGUAGGACAGAACCAAAUCACAACCUCAAUGACCGGUGAUGGCGAACGUGUUCGAUAAGUUUGAGUGACAGACUUAGUCAAGCCAAAGAACUCAGAGUUGA